rnacentral:rRNA from 1 species
AGUCGAGGGGUAACAGAAAAGCUUGCUUUUGCUGACGACCGGCGCACGGGUGCGUAACGCGUAUGCAACCUACCUCAUACUGGAGGAUAGCCCCUGGAAACGGGGAUUAAUACUCCAUAGUAUCACAAUUUCGCAUGUUAUUGUGAUUAAAGUUUUUCGGUAUGAGAUGGGCAUGCGUCCCAUUAGCUUGUUGGUGAGGUAACGGCUCACCAAGGCAACGAUGGGUAGGGGGCCUGAGAGGGUGGUCCCCCACACUGGUACUGAGACACGGACCAGACUCCUACGGGAGGCAGCAGUGAGGAAUAUUGGUCAAUGGAGGAAACUCUGAACCAGCCAUGCCGCGUGAAGGAUGACGGCCCUAUGGGUUGUAAACUUCUUUUAUAGAGGAAGAAACUUGUCUACGUGUAGACAACUGACGGUACUCUACGAAUAAGGAUCGGCUAACUCCGUGCCAGCAGCCGCGGUAAUACGGAGGAUCCAAGCGUUAUCCGGAUUCAUUGGGUUUAAAGGGUCCGUAGGCGGAUUUUUAAGUCAGUGGUGAAAGCCGACAGCUCAAC